GACGAACGCUGCGGCGUGCUUAACACAUGCAAGUCGAACGGAAAGGCCCUGCUUGCCGGGUACUCGAGUGGCGAACGGGUGAGUAACACGUGGGUGAUCUGCCCUGCACUUCGGGAUAAGCCUGGGAAACUGGGUCUAAUACCGGAUAGGAGCCAUUUUUAGUGUGAUGGUUGGAAAGUUUUUUCGGUGUAGGAUGAGCUCGCGGCCUAUCAGCUUGUUGGUGGGGUAAUGGCCUACCAAGGCGGCGACGGGUAGCCGGCCUGAGAGGGUGGACGGCCACAUUGGGACUGAGAUACGGCCCAGACUCCUACGGGAGGCAGCAGUGGGGAAUAUUGCACAAUGGGCGCAAGCCUGAUGCAGCGACGCCGCGUGGGGGAUGACGGCCUUCGGGUUGUAAACUCCUUUCGCUAGGGACGAAGCUUUUUGUGACGGUACCUAGAUAAGAAGCACCGGCUAACUACGUG
rnacentral:rRNA from 1 species